UACGUAGGGUGCAAGCGUUGUCCGGAAUUAUUGGGCGUAAAGAGCUCGUAGGCGGUCUGUUGCGUCGGCUGUGAAAACCCGGGGCUCAACUCCGGGCCUGCAGCCGAUACGGGCAGACUAGAGUUCGGCAGGGGAGACUGGAAUUCCUGGUGUAGCGGUGAAAUGCGCAGAUAUCAGGAGGAACACCGAUGGCGAAGGCAGCUCGCUGGGACGGUACUGACGCUGAGGCGCGAAAGCGUGGGGAGCAAACAGG
rnacentral:rRNA from 1 species